UCCCGAACACGGAAGUUAAGCUCUUUUGCGCUGAUGGUAGUUGGGGGUCUCCCCCUGUGAGAGUAAGACGUCGCUGGGC
rnacentral:rRNA from 1 species